GCUGGCCUGAGAGGGUGUCUGGCCACACUGGGACUGAGAUACGGCCAGACACCUACGGGAGGCAGCAGUGGGGAAUAUUGCACAAUGGGCGCAAGCCUGAUGCAGCGACGCCGCGUGGGGGAUGACGGCCUUCGGGUUGUAAACCUCUUUCAGCUCUGACGAAGCGCAAGUGACGGUAGGAGCAGAAGAAGCACCGGCCAACUACGUGCCAGCAGCCGCGGUAAUACGUAGGGUGCGAGCGUUGUCCGGAAUUACUGGGCGUAAAGAGCUCGUAGGUGGUUUGUCGCGUUGUCCGUGAAAUCUCACAACUCAAUUGUGAGCGUGCGGGCGAUACGGGCAGACUGGAGUACUGCAGGGGAGACUGGAAUU
rnacentral:rRNA from 1 species